rnacentral:rRNA from 1 species
AACGAACGCUGGCGGCAGGCCUAACACAUGCAAGUCGAGCGGACCCUUCUGGGUUAGCGGCGGACGGGUGAGUAACGCGUGGGAAUAUGCCCUUCUCUACGGAAUAGUCCUGGGAAACUGGGGGUAAUACCGUAUACGCCCUUUGGGGGAAAGAUUUAUCGGGGAAGGAUUAGCCCGCGUUGGAUUAGGUAGUUGGUGGGGUAAUGGCCUACCAAGCCGACGAUCCAUAGCUGGUUUGAGAGGAUGAUCAGCCACACUGGGACUGAGACACGGCCCAGACUCCUACGGGAGGCAGCAGUGGGGAAUCUUAGACAAUGGGGGCAACCCUGAUCUAGCCAUGCCGCGUGAGUGAUGAAGGCCUUAGGGUUGUAAAGCUCUUUCAGCUGGGAAGAUAAUGACGGUACCAGCAGAAGAAGCCCCGGCUAACUCCGUG